rnacentral:tRNA from 1 species
GGAGGAAUGCCCGAGUGGCUAAAGGGGACGGACUGUAAAUCCGUUAGCUUUGCUUACGGUGGUUCGAAUCCACCUUCCUCCACCA